rnacentral:rRNA from 1 species
UACAGAGGUCUCAAGCGUUGUUCGGAUUCAUUGGGCGUAAAGGGUGCGUAGGCGGCGCGGUAAGUCGGGUGUGAAAUCUCGGAGCUUAACUCCGAAACUGCAUUCGAUACUGCCGUGCUUGAGGACUGGAGAGGAGACUGGAAUUUACGGUGUAGCGGUGAAAUGCGUAGAUAUCGGGAGGAACACCGGUGGCGAAGGCGGCCUUCUGGACGGUGACUGACGCUGAGGCGCGAAAGCGUGGGGAGCAAACGGG